rnacentral:lncRNA from 1 species
ACUAUGGAGUAAUACUGUCAGUAUGUGUGUUGAUGCACUGUUGUGUAAAAUUAAAGAUGGGAUUCAACUGCUUUAAGAAAGUUCCCCCUCCACCUGGAUUGCAUUUAAUCGGAUCUCCAUCUAUCCAUUUUCUCUCAGAGUUCAUAUUUUUCCAUUUGGAUAUCCUAGCAACCCCCCAUCUGAUCCUCUCUCAUCUUCUGCUCAAGGGAUAUGGUCUUUGUGUGCCUCAUUUGAUGGAUCUUAUCUUCUUUAAUGGAAGGAUAGUUCAUUGUGAAGAUGUCCUUUCCCUGUCAAGGACUGUAACAGUGACUUCUGAUCUCAUGAGUCAUUACCUCUACGUUCAUAAAUACAUAAAUUCCUGCAAAUCUUCUUCGGAUUAGCCGUUUACUGUUUUAAGAACUAAUGAGUUCUCAUCGUCCAUCCACUCCACCUUCAUUGACUAUAAGAAAAAAUAUUUACAAGAGUCCUUCAGUUUCCUUGAUGUAUAUGACGCAGAAAUAACUUAUCUCAAUCACAAUUCCAUUUAUAAGGUGGAGUUUGUAAUCUAUAUGGACACAUGGUAUAAUUUUGUCUGUAUUGCUAAUACAUAUUCUAUUCUGCUAAUAAGUAUAUUUAUUUAUGUAUAAAAAUGUCUCAUUUAUUUUUGUAUAUGUAUAGUGUCACUAAUAUUUGUUAAAUUUAUUUAUUUUAUUUGAUAUUAAGAAGUUCUAUAUCGUGUCAUUUGUUCUUUUAAGUUUUCCUGGUUCUCUGCUUAUGACUUCUAGUUAUAAUUAAUAUCAUUUUUUUUUUAGUUGUAUUUUUUUUAAAAUUUACCCUAUUAAACGUAAUGAUAUUACAAUUACGUUAUAAUACUUAAAUAAAUUAUCGUAAUAAUGUUCACUAUUUCAAUGUAACGAUAAAUACGUCAUAGUUCGUAAUAAUUAAUAUUUCUAAAUGAUACUUAGCUUCGUACAUAUUUAAAUCAAGUAAAUAAUAAUUAUAUUUGAAAUAUUGAAA